AUCCAGCUGAUGAGUCUCAAAUUAGGUGAAACCCGCGUUCUGGAU
rnacentral:hammerhead_ribozyme from 1 species